UUAAAGGAAGGUUUCUUUAUUUGGUAAAAAGUAAUUUUAUACAAUACCAAUUAAAUGUUAAGAUGCUACAAAACAGAAGUAUGUGACUUCCUCAGUUGUUGUGCCAUGCCUCAAUGCUAUUUUUCUUCCAUCACCAGUAACAAAACAUACAUUAGUCCAAAAGAAUCCACAUCCUCUUAUAUGUUACCCAAACUCUAUUUUCAUAUGGUCUUGUAAAGUUCUUUAGGUAUCAUUCACCUUCAUUAUAAAAUUCCUCCAGGUUCAUGCACUUUAUCUAUUUCAUUAAUAGGGAAUAACCAAAAAUCAUUGUGUAAGAAAUGAGAAACGAAGAGUUGAUGGUAAAGAAAACUCCUAAAGUGUCCCUAUAUUUGAGUUUCAUAUUUGAA
rnacentral:lncRNA from 1 species